UCCCAGACCUCCAGGGUUCAGAGGAAAGAGAGAUCCUGAGAUCUCCCUGCACAGUAGGGUUUCCAAAUUCCAAACCUGAUGUGAUCUCACAGAUGGAACGAGGGGAACAGCCGUGGGUCCCAGACCUCCAGGGCUCUGAGAAAGAACUGCUUCCAAGAGCUGCCUUCACAGGUGAUGGGAUGGUGAGUCAGAAUGAGGAGGAGAAACCCCAGCAGGAAGAUGCUGAGCAAGGAG